ACAUCUAUGAUGACAAUAUGAUAGGGACACCUGAUAUAUUAUGAUCGAUUUAUCAUAUAAUAAAUCUGAAACU